CAGGUAUGUUCGAGGAACAGGCAAGUUUACAAGAAAUAGAUUUACUAAAAUAACUAAUCCUACUUUUUUAGCUUAUAACGAAUAAUGUUGAACUGUUAACUUAAUUUAGGAUGAGAAAUAGAAGACAACAAGAAUUGGACCCAAGCAUACCAUUACUGAAACCAUGAAGAAAAUAGAAGCGGCUGCAACGGAUGCGAGUAUUCUGUAGCAAGAACAAACAACUUCAGGAUGUAAAUGCAUGCAAAAAUUCCAAUGAAAACGUAAAUCACCAUAUCUAGGUGGAUUACCAAAAGGAGCUCAUCAAGUAUUCUGCGAGCACGAUCGACCUUGAUCAUUUGGAUAUUUAAAGGAGCCAUUGAUCAAGGGAAGACGACGAGUUGUGAACCUGUGUACCAAUUUUGCCAAUUUUGUAGACAAGCAGAAACUUUGGCACUCGCCUCUGUCCUAUCCUCCUCUCGCCGCCGUCUCCCUUCUCUCACCUCCGUCGUCUUACUCCUCUUUUCUCUGUCUCUGGAAUCUUAUCGUCAUCUUCCUCACAUGCAAGGCUCUGGCCCUUUCAAUUGUAACCAAAACAUGUUUCAGUUCUGAGGAAGAGCAAGAAAAAGGAAGAACCAGUAUUAGAAGAUCUUCCCAAAGAGUACUAUGAUGAUUCUAAGCCAUGAAGGAUUCAAUAAACCCACAAUUGAUAACAAUGUGCGGCGGCACCAACGGUUUUGGACAAGGAACAAGUAAGUACCAUUUGUUUCAUUGUUCCAAAGUAUUAUGUAGAGAUUGCUUUAAUAUCUUGGCUUCUUUGCUGUUUGUGGGGUGUCUGAGAUAGGAUUUAGAAGAUCUGGUUUAGGUUUUGCAGAGAGAGAGAUAGGGGGUGUCAGUGAGAAAUGUGGGAGGAUUUAGGCAAGGGAUUUCAGGGAUUUGUUUAGGGUUUCUUUUCUGCGAUUUGCAGACAGAGAGAUGGGACAAGGGUGAGAGAAAGAUGGGAGGAUUUUCUGCAAGGGUAAAGGGAACGGGUAAGGAAGGUUUGGGUAUGGGUAAGGGAUGGAAAAACAUUUUGUUUUCCAUUUGCUUCCUCAAACCCGAGGGAUUUUUGCAAUUGCAGAGAGAUAGAGAGAUGGGGGUGUCCGUUAGGUGCCCUUUAAUUGUCACUUUUGUGAUUUGUCCACCUUGAUUGUUGUGUGAUUCAUUCUCACGAACGUUCUAUGCACAAGGUUUCAUGUUAUUCCUUCCUUUUAAUUUUGAUAUUAUUGUGCUUAAUUUCUGUUUUAUUUUAUUGGGUGAUUAGAUUAACAGACCUUGGAUAUUUUGGUAUAAUAAUUUCACA